rnacentral:rRNA from 1 species
GAUGAACGCUGGCGGCGUGCUUAACACAUGCAAGUCGAACGGAGCUUAGAGAGCUUGCUUUUUAAGCUUAGUGGCGAACGGGUGAGUAACGCGUGAGUAACCUGCCCUAGAGUGGGGGAUAACAGUUGGAAACGACUGCUAAUACCGCAUAAGCGCACGGUAUCGCAUGAUACAGUGUGAAAAACUCCGGUGGUAUAAGAUGGACCCGCGUCUGAUUAGCUUGUUGGUGAGGUAACGGCCCACCAAGGCGACGAUCAGUAGCCGGCCUGAGAGGGUGAACGGCCACAUUGGGACUGAGACACGGCCCAAACUCCUACGGGAGGCAGCAGUGGGGAAUAUUGCACAAUGGGGGAAACCCUGAUGCAGCGACGCCGCGUGAGUGAAGAAGUAUUUCGGUAUGUAAAGCUCUAUCAGCAGGGAAGAAAAUGACGGUACCUGACUAAGAAGCCCCGGCUAACUACGUG